GAUGAACGCUGGCGGCGUGCCUAAUACAUGCAAGUCGAGCGAACAGACGAGGAGCUUGCUCCUCUGACGUUAGCGGCGGACGGGUGAGUAACACGUGGAUAACCUACCUAUAAGACUGGGAUAACUUCGGGAAACCGGAGCUAAUACCGGAUAAUAUAUUGAACCGCAUGGUUCAAUAGUGAAAGACGGUUUUGCUGCCACUUAUAGAUGGACUCGCGCCGCAUUAGCUAGUUGGUAAGGUAACGGCUUACCAAGGCAACGAUGCGUAGCCGACCUGAGAGGGUGAACGGCACCACUGGAAUUGAAACACGGCCCAGACUCCUACGGGAGGCGGCAGUGGGGAAUCUUCCGCAAUGGGCGAAAGCCUGACGGGGAAACGCCGCGUGAGUGAUAAAGGUCUUCGGAUCGUAAAACUCUGUUAUUAGGGAAGAACAAAUGUGUAAGUAACUAUGCACGUCUUGACGGUACCUAAUCAGAAAGCCACGGCUAACUACGUG
rnacentral:rRNA from 1 species